rnacentral:rRNA from 1 species
CUCCUACGGGAGGCAGCAGUGGGGAAUUUUGGACAAUGGGGGCAACCCUGAUCCAGCCAUGCCGCGUGCAGGAAGAAGGCCUUCGGGUUGUAAAGCACUUUUGUCCGGAAGGAAAACGCCUUCUCUAAUACUGGGGGGUCAUGACGGUACCGUAAGAAUAAGCACCGGCUAACUUCGUGCCAGCAGCCGCGGUAAUACGUAGGGUGCGAGCGUUAAUCGGAAUUACUGGGCGUAAAGCGUGCGCAGGCGGUUUUGUAAGACAGGGGUGAAAUCCCCGGGCUCAACCUGGGAACUGCGCUUGUGACUGCAAGGCUGGAGUGCGUCAGAGGGGGGUGGAAUUCCACGUGUAGCAGUGAAAUGCGUAGAGAUGUGGAGGAACACCGAUGGCGAAGGCAGCCCCCUGGGCCUUUUCUGACGCUCAUGCACGAAAGCGUGGGGAGCAAACAGGAUUAGAUACCCUGGUAGUCCACGCCGUAAACGAUGUCAACUAGUUGUUGGGGAUUCAUUUUCUCAGUAACGUAGCUAACGCG